GGGUCAGUAGGUUGGUCGUGCCACCGGUACGUACUGGUCUCACUGAUUCCUCCUUCCUGAAGAACCGUAAUGCCAUUAAUUUGGUGUUGCGAGGAAACAGGACUGUUACUUUGAAAAAAUUAGAGUGUUUAAAGCAAGCUAACGCUUGAAUACAUUAGCAUGGAAUAAUGAAAUAGGACGAUCGAUCCUAUUUUGUUGGUUUCUAGAAUUGACGUA
rnacentral:rRNA from 1 species